CUUUUCAGCCUGAACUCUCGGGAACCACCAGCUACCCGAUUAAAAUAGUAACAACGACGAGGGCAAAACCCAGCCCAGCCGCUGAUCCCGGCGCUGCGCCGGGGCCGGCUGCCUCCCUGGAACCGGCCCUGCCGCCCGGGGCCCUCCGCCUCUCCGCCCCGGGGGGAGCCCCGCCGCCCCCGCCCCGUCGGAGGGGGCAGACGUGGGGGGGAGGAGGUAAGAACGCCUGCUCAUUUUCCUUUUCCUGAAGAAAUUGGGGGAGAGCAAAUAACUGAAAGAAUCAGCAUGACAAGACCUAGGACCAUCAGUUAACGGCUCAGCUACCUUCCCCUGGCACGGGUGGUUUGCUUAGGUGUGGGGGAGGGAAAAGAAAGCAAAAGAAGAACUGAGAUCGAGGACUAAGCUGUUUAAUUUGCUUAGAGCAGCUGGAGAAGUGAAAAAUGAAUACAAACAACUCUUCUGUUCAGAGUGAUCGUUUAGUACAGAAUUUCUUCAGGAAAUAAUUGUACUUGCGGCACUAAGGAUGGAUUCUUCUCACCUAAACUUGGCCAAAUAUUACUCCCAGAUUUGCAGAUGGAUCUAUGGACACGCUUCUAUUUAAAUAAUGCCUCCUGGAUUUGCGGGGGAGACAGGGCUAGUGUUCAGAAGAAUGCGAUGAACACUGAAGUUCCCCAUCACUCAG